UUAGUGCUGCAGCUAACGCAUUAAGCACUCCGCCUGGGGAGUACGGCCGCAAGGCUGAAACUCAAAGGAAUUGACGGGGGCCCGCACAAGCGGUGGAGCAUGUGGUUUAAUUNGAAGCAACGCGAAGAACCUUACCAGGUCUUGACAUCCUUUGACACUCCUAGAGAUAGGAAUUUCCCCUUCGGGGGACAGAGUGACAUGUGGUGCAUGGUUGUNGUCAGCUCGUGUCGUGAGAUGUUGGGUUAAGUCCCGCAACGAGCGCAACCCUUGAUUUUAGUUGCCAGCAUUCAGUUGGGCACUNUAAGGUGACUGCCGGUGACAAACCGGAGGAAGGUGGGGAUGACGUCAAAUCAUCAUGCCCCUUAUGACCUGGGCUACACACGUGCUACAAUGGAUGGUACAAAGGGCUGCAAAACCGCAAGGUCUAGCCAAUCCCAUAAAACCAUUCUCAGUUCGGAUUGUAGGCUGCAACU
rnacentral:rRNA from 1 species